rnacentral:rRNA from 1 species
AUGCACGCUGGCGGCGUGCCUCAUCCAUGCAAGUCGAGCGAAUAGACGAGGAGCUUGCUCCUCUGACGUUAGCGGCGGACGGGUGAGUAACACGUGGAUAACCUACCUAUAAGACUGGGAUAACUUCGGGAAACCGGAGCUAAUACCGGAUAAUAUAUUGAACCGCAUGGUUCAAUAGUGAAAGACGGUUUUGCUGUCACUUAUAGAUGGAUCCGCGCCGCAUUAGCUAGUUGGUAAGGUAACGGCUUACCAAGGCAACGAUGCGUAGCCGACCUGAGAGGGUGAUCGGCCACACUGGAACUGAGACACGGUCCAGACUCCUACGGGAGGCAGCAGUAGGGAAUCUUCCGCAAUGGGCGAAAGCCUGACGGAGCAACGCCGCGUGAGUGAUGAAGGUCUUCGGAUCGUAAAACUCUGUUAUUAGGGAAGAACAAAUGUGUAAGUAACUAUGCACGUCUUGACGGUACCUAAUCAGAAAGCCACGGCUAACUACGUG